GAUGAACGCUGACAGAAUGCUUAACACAUGCAAGUCAACUUGAACUUCGGUUUGGGUGGCGGACGGGUGAGUAACGCGUAAAGAACUUGCCUCACAGAUAGGGACAACAUUUGGAAACGAAUGCUAAUACCUGAUAUUAUGAUUAUAUGGCAUCGUAUAAUUAUGAAAGCUAUAUGCGCUGUGAGAGAGCUUUGCGUCCCAUUAGCUAGUUGGAGAGGUAACGGCUCACCAAGGCGAUGAUGGGUAGCCGGCCUGAGAGGGUGAUCGGCCACAAGGGGACUGAGACACGGCCCUUACUCCUACGGGAGGCAGCAGUGGGGAAUACUGGACAAUGGACCAAGAGUCUGAUCCAGCAAUUCUGUGUGCACGAUGAAGUUUUUCGGAAUGUAAAGUGCUUUCAGUUGGGAAGAAAAAAAUGACGGUACCAACAGAAGAAGUGACGGCUAAAUACGUG
rnacentral:rRNA from 1 species